CAGCAGCCGCGGGAAUACGAAGGGGGCUAGCGUUGCUCGGAAUGACUGGGCGUAAAGGGCGCGUAGGCGGCUCAUACAGUCAGGCGUGAAAGUCCUGGGCUCAACCUGGGGUGGUCGCUUGAGACGUGUGGGCUAGAGUGGGGAAGAGGGUCGUGGAAUUCCUAGUGUAGAGGUGAAAUUCGUAGAUAUUGGGAAGAACACCGGUGGCGAAGGCGGCGACCUGGUCCUUUUACUGACGCUGAGGCGCGAAAGCGUGGGGAGCAAACAGGAUUAGAGACCCCCGUAGUCCCUGUCUCUUAUU
rnacentral:rRNA from 1 species